rnacentral:RNase_P_RNA from 1 species
GGAGUAGGCCAGGUGAUCGCUGGCCGCCCGUUCUGGGCGGCGAGAGGAAAGUCCGAGCUCCGCAGGGCAGGGUGCUGGGUAACGCCCAGUGGGGGUAACCCCAAGGAAAGUGCCACAGAGAAUAGACCGCCGGGACGAGUUCUUUGUCUCGGUAAGGGUGAAACGGUGAGGUAAGAGCUCACCAGUUCCGAUGGUGACAUCGGAAGCUAGGUAAACCCCACCCGGAGCAAGACCAAAUAGGAGGGCGCUUGAGGGUAGCCCGCCCGAAGCUCUCGGGUAGGUCGCUGGAGGCCGCAGGCAACUGUGGUCCUAGAGGAAUGAUCACCACCGGUUAUCCGGGACAGAACUCGGCUUAUGGCCUGCUCCGAUA